GGCCUAGUAGCAUAGCCUGGAUAUUGCGCGAGCCUUCUAAGCUUGAGGUCGGGAGUUCGAAUCUCCCCUAGGUCG
rnacentral:tRNA from 1 species